rnacentral:rRNA from 1 species
AUUGAACGCUGGCGGCACGCCUUACACAUGCAAGUCGAACGGCAGCACGGGAGCAAUCCUGGUGGCGAGUGGCGAACGGGUGAGUAAUGUAUCGGAACGUGCCCAGUCGUGGGGGAUAACGUAGCGAAAGCUACGCUAAUACCGCAUACGAUCUAUGGAUGAAAGCGGGGGACCGUAAGGCCUCGCGCGAUUGGAGCGGCCGAUAUCAGAUUAGGUAGUUGGUGGGGUAAAGGCCUACCAAGCCGACGAUCUGUAGCUGGUCUGAGAGGACGACCAGCCACACUGGGACUGAGCCACGGCCCAGACUCCAACGUGAGGCAGCAGUGGGGAAUUUGGGACAAUGGGCGCAAGCCGGAUCCAGCAAUGCCGCGUGCAGGAUGAAGGCCUUCGGGUUGUAAACUGCUUUUGUACGGAGCGAAAAGGCUCUCUCUAAUACAGGGGGCUCAUGACGGUACCGUAAGAAUAAGCACCGGCUAACUACGUGCCAGCCGCCGCAGUAAAAC